AGCGAACGCUGGCGGCAGGCCUAACACAUGCAAGUCGAACGAAGUCUUCGGACUUAGUGGCGGACGGGUGAGUAACACGUGGGAACGUGCCUUUAGGUUCGGAAUAACUCAGGGAAACUUGUGCUAAUACCGAAUGUGCCCUUCGGGGGAAAGAUUUAUCGCCUUUAGAGCGGCCCGCGUCUGAUUAGCUAGUUGGUGAGGUAAAGGCUCACCAAGGCGACGAUCAGUAGCUGGUCUGAGAGGAUGAUCAGCCACAUUGGGACUGAGACACGGGCCAAACUUCUACCGGGGGCAGCAGGGGGGAAUAUUGCGCAAUGGGGGAAAGCCUGACGCAGCCAUGCCGCGUGAAAGAUGAAAGGCUUAGGAUUGUAAAAUUCUUUCACCGGGGACGAUAAUGACGGUACCCGGAGAAGAAGCCCCGGCUAACUUCGUGCCAGCCGCCGCAGUAACAC
rnacentral:rRNA from 1 species